CAGUCGCCACGGUAAUACGUAGGGUGCGAGCGUUAUUCGGAAUUAUUGGGCGUAAAGGGCGCGUAGGCGGUUUGGCAAGCUUGGUGUGGAAUCUUCGGGCUCAACUCGAAGUCUGCAUCGAAAACUGCCGGGCUUGAGUAUGGGAGAGGUGAGUGGAAUUUCCGGUGUAGCGGUGAAAUGCGUAGAUAUCGGAAGGAACACCUGUGGCGAAAGCGGCUCACUGGACCAUUACUGACGCUGAGGCGCGAAAGCUAGGGGAGCAAACAGGAUUAGAUACCCGAGUAGUCCCUGUCUCUUAUAC
rnacentral:rRNA from 1 species